UCCGUGGUAACACCACGGCAGUCCCCCGUGACACAGGUAACACGGGGCAAGGGUUGCGCUCGUUGCGGGACUUAACCCAACAUCUCACGACACGAGCUGACGACAGCCAUGCAGCACCGGUGCACCACCCUCGAAGGCAACCAGCUUUCGCUGGUUUGCAGGUGCAUGUCAAGCCUGGGUAAGGUUCUGCGCGUUGCGUCGAAUUAAACCACAUGCUCCACCGCUUGUGCGGGCCCCCGUCAAUUCCUUUGAGUUUCAGCCUUGCGGCCGUACUCCCCAGGCGGGGCACUUAUCGCGUUAGCUUCGCCACAGAAGGGGUCGAUUCCUCCUACACCUAGUGCCCAUCGUUUACGGCGUGGACUAC
rnacentral:misc_RNA from 1 species